AAACUUUAUUACUUCCGGAAUCAGGAAAACCCCCAAAACAUGCAGACGAAGUUCGGUAUGUGAUGUGACUGACUACACGUGAGCCACUCACCAAAGGACUGCCAACUGCACGUAGCCUCAGCACUGUAGAGUCUGCUAUACUACAGUUGCACAGAUGAACAGCAGUGUGAAUUCUGGCUGGACAGUUGCAGUAAUGAGUCAUCAUCUUCGGAUCCCAAGAGCCCACCAGCAUGACAAGAGUAAAGGCAGAGGGCUACAGAAAAAAGAUCUUAAAGGUAUG